UACAGAGGUCUCAAGCGUUGUUCGGAUUCAUUGGGCGUAAAGGGUGCGUAGGCGGCGCGGUAAGUCGGGUGUGAAAUCUCGGAGCUUAACUCCGAAACUGCAUUCGAUACUGGAAGGCUUGAAUCCGGGAGAGGGAUGCGGAAUUCCAGGUGUAGCGGUGAAAUGCGUAGAUAUCUGGAGGAACACCGGUGGCGAAGGCGGCAUCCUGGACCGGUAUUGACGCUGAGGCGCGAAAGCCAGGGGAGCAAACGGG
rnacentral:rRNA from 1 species